AUUGAACGCUGGCGGAAUGCUUUACACAUGCAAGUCGAACGGCAGCACGGACUUCGGUCUGGUGGCGAGUGGCGAGCGGGUGAGUAAUGUAUCGGAACGUGCCCAGUCGUGGGGGAUAACGUAGUGAAAAUUACGCUAAUACCGCAUACGAUCUAUGGAUGAAAGCGGGGGAUCGCAAGACCUCGCGCGAUUGGAGCGGCCGAUAUCAGAUUAGGUAGUUGGUGGGGUAAAGGCCCACCAAGCCAAGGAUCUGUAGCUGGUCUGAGAGGACGACCAGCCACACUGGAACUGAGACACGGUCCAGACUCCUACGGGAGGCAGCAGUGGGGAAUUUUGGACAAUGGGCGAAAGCCUGAUCCAGCCAUUCCGCGUGCAGGAUGAAGGCCCUCGGGUUGUAAACUGCUUUUGUACAGAACGAAAAGGUUUCUACUAAUACUAGGAGCUCAUGACGGUACUGUAAGAAUAAGCACCGGCUAACUACGUGCCAGCCGCCGCGGUAA
rnacentral:rRNA from 1 species